GCUGGCGGAAGCUGUUGUCUUGCCGCCUGAUGUGGAGGAAGACGUAAUCUUACCCAGUGGUCGGUUUAUUGUGAUUUUAAACGCGAAUAUGAGGAACACCAGCCUGCCACCCUCGUCUGCUGUUUCAGGCCUAAAGACGCCCAGCAGGGUCGCGCAGCCUCAUCCACGUAGACUUCCCACCUACUCCAAGCAACAAGAGGAGGCGGAUGAGCAGCGUAAGGCAGUCACGCUUCAUUGAUGCUGCACAGGAAGUGUUAUUGAUGUAAAGUCAUGAUGUGAUGAUAAGGAGGAGGAGGAGAAGAAAGAGGAAGAGAAGGAAAAAGAGGAGAACGAGGAAGAAGAGUUAGAAGACGAGGAGGAAGAAGAGGUUUCAUAAAAAUCGGGUUUUCUGAAGAACGAAAUGAGGGAAAGGAUAAAAAAUGAUAAAGGACAGAAGAAGACGAAAAGGAGACAAGAGAAACUGGAAAAAAAAUAAAAAGAUAAAGAUGAUUAUGAACGAAGAAAUUAUAAAAAGAUGAAAAUAAAAAUAUUUAAGAAAAGAAAUGAAGGAGAAAAGAAAAUUAAUAAGAGUAACUAAGAAAAGCAAAUAAGAAAAUAUGUAAAUAGAGAUAAAACCAGAAAAUAAAGAAAAAAAGGAGAAAAGGCUGGAGAAGUCAGGAAAAUACCAAAACAGAAAAUAAAAGACGUAAUAUGAGAAAAAAGGGGAAGAAAAAUAAAAUAAAAUAAAAAGAUGAAAAUGGAAAUAAACGAAGGAAAAAAGAAAAAAAGGCAGCAAAAACCAGGACAAGAUCAAAAUGUUAUUAAACGAAGUAAAAAGAGAAACAAGAAACGGAAGAAAAAAGAGGAAAAGAAAUACGAAAAUAAUAAAAAUAGACAAACGAGGGAAAAGAGGAAAAAGGAAAAAAAGGAAAAGGAAAAAAAAUGGUGGCAGUAUGUCAGUUUUAUGGAUACCAAGAGACAGGGAGAGACAGGAAGACAUCUCUUAGUAAACCAGAAAGAGACUUACAACUUUAUAAAUAAGAUAGAUCUGUCUGUGUGUCUGUUUAUCUGUCACUUUCUCUCGUCUCUCUCGUCUCUCUCUCUCUCUCUCUCUCUCUCUCUCUCUCUCUCUCUCUCUCUCUCUCUCUCUCUCUCUCUCUCUCUCUCUCUCUCUCUCUCUCUUUAAUAUUUUU